AAAAAAAUAGGCUUUAUCUUCACCUAAAGGAUUGACUCCUAUACAAGUUUUAUACAAUUCAUGAAGAUUUACAAAUUUGUCUAGAUAAAACAGUUUCAUUGACUGCAAAAAAAAAACUAUAUAGAAAAAAGAAGAUGUUGUAUUAUAGCCAACAUAAGACAUUUCUCCACCACAUACCAAAUCAUGCAGAAGUUAAUAACUGUAUGUACGGUCUUCAACAGUGAGCAAAAACCUAACCAGAUAGUAAGCUAUGAAAUAUCCCGAAAUGACAAAUGUAAAAAAAAAGAGAAACAUAACGUUCUAAAUCACUAAGACGCCGACAGCAUUACCGACGACGUAUUGAAGGUUUUUCUUGUCUCCUUUCAGCAACAUUAAUGUCAUAAGCUCGACACAAAUAAAAUGACUGAUACUUAAUUUUCAACAAAUCAAACACUUUUAAUCCACUCGCAUUCAAGUUACAGGGAAAACAAUGGGAAACGACGGAUACUAUAUGUUCCAAUUGUCGACACAACAAUUCCGUCCUAUUUUCCUCCAGGAUGACCUAUCGCUUUAGACCAAAUCACUGGGUUUCUAAUUUCACAAAUAACAUGAUAGAUGACUCACGAUGUCUGCAUUCACCCCAAAGCUAACUUAACCUUUAAAUAGACUUUUUAAGAAGAGAUAUGGUUACGAUACUGUGACCAGAUAGUUAAAGAUGGCAUAUUCGGGCUUUAAAACUCAUUUGAAUUUUUCAAAAAACUACGGAUUUUCUUAUCCUAGUAGUAGACUACCCUAGCCGUAUGUUGCACAACUUGUUUGAAUUUUG
rnacentral:lncRNA from 1 species